rnacentral:rRNA from 1 species
CUUAGCAGAGAUGCUUUGGUGCCUUCGGGAACUCUGAGACAGGUGCUGCAUGGCUGUCGUCAGCUCGUGUUGUGAAAUGUUGGGUUAAGUCCCGCAACGAGCGCAACCCUUAUCCUUUGUUGCCAGCGGCUCGGCCGGGAACUCAAAGGAGACUGCCGGUGAUAAACCGGAGGAAGGUGGGGAUGACGUCAAGUCAUCAUGGCCCUUACGGCCAGGGCUACACACGUGCUACAAUGGCGCAUACAAAGAGAAGCGACCUCGCGAGAGCAAGCGGACCUCACAAAGUGCGUCGUAGUCCGGAUUGGAGUCUGCAACUCGACUCCAUGAAGUCGGAAUCGCUAGUAAUCGUAGAUCAGAAUGCUACGGUGAAUACGUUCCCGGGCCUUGUACACACCGCCCGUCACACCAUGGGAGUGGGUUGCAAAAGAAGUAGGUAGCUUAACCUUCGGGAGGGCGCUUACCACUUUGUGAUUCAUGACUGGGGUGAAGUCGUAACAAGGUAAGCGUAGCGAG